rnacentral:rRNA from 2 species
UACGCACUGGCCCAACUGAUUGAUGGUGCUUGCACCUGAUUGACGAUGGAUCACCAGUGAGUGGCGGACGGGUGAGUAACACGUAGGUAACCUGCCCCGGAGCGGGGGAUAACAUUUGGAAACAGAUGCUAAUACCGCAUAACAACAAAAGCCACAUGGCUUUUGUUUGAAAGAUGGCUUUGGCUAUCACUCUGGGAUGGACCUGCGGUGCAUUAGCUAGUUGGUAAGGUAACGGCUUACCAAGGCGAUGAUGCAUAGCCGAGUUGAGAGACUGAUCGGCCACAAUGGAACUGAGACACGGUCCAUACUCCUACGGGAGGCAGCAGUAGGGAAUCUUCCACAAUGGGCGCAAGCCUGAUGGAGCAACACCGCGUGAGUGAAGAAGGGUUUCGGCUCGUAAAGCUCUGUUGUUGGAGAAGAACGUGCGUGAGAGUAACUGUUCACGCAGUGACGGUAUCCAACCAGAAAGUCACGGCUAACUACGUGCCAGCAGCCGCGGUAAUACGUAGGUGGCAAGCGUUAUCCGGAUUUAUUGGGCGUAAAGCGAGCGCAGGCGGUUGCUUAGGUCUGAUGUGAAAGCCUUCGGCUUAACCGAAGAAGUGCAUCGGAAACCGGGCGACUUGAGUGCAGAAGAGGACAGUGGAACUCCAUGUGUAGCGGUGGAAUGCGUAGAUAUAUGGAAGAACACCAGUGGCGAAGGCGGCUGUCUGGUCUGCAACUGACGCUGAGGCUCGAAAGCAUGGGUAGCGAACAGGAUUAGAUACCCUGGUAGUCCAUGCCGUAAACGAUGAGUGCUAGGUGUUGGAGGGUUUCCGCCCUUCAGUGCCGGAGCUAACGCAUUAAGCACUCCGCCUGGGGAGUACGACCGCAAGGUUGAAACUCAAAGGAAUUGACGGGGGCCCGCACAAGCGGUGGAGCAUGUGGUUUAAUUCGAAGCUACGCGAAGAACCUUACCAGGUCUUGACAUCUUGCGCUAACCUAGAGAUAAGGCGUUCCCUUCGGGGACGCAAUGACAGGUGGUGCAUGGUCGUCGUCAGCUCGUGUCGUGAGAUGUUGGGUUAAGUCCCGCAACGAGCGCAACCCUUGUUACUAGUUGCCAGCAUUAAGUUGGGCACUCUAGUGAGACUGCCGGUGACAAACCGGAGGAAGGUGGGGACGACGUCAGAUCAUCAUGCCCCUUAUGACCUGGGCUACACACGUGCUACAAUGGACGGUACAACGAGUCGCAAGCUCGCGAGAGUAAGCUAAUCUCUUAAAGCCGUUCUCAGUUCGGACUGUAGGCUGCAACUCGCCUACACGAAGUCGGAAUCGCUAGUAAUCGCGGAUCAGCAUGCCGCGGUGAAUACGUUCCCGGGCCUUGUACACACCGCCCGUCACACCAUGGGAGUUUGUAACGCCCAAAGUCGGUGGCCUAACCUUUAUGGAGGGAGCCGCCUAAGGCGGGACAG